UACGUAGGGUGCGAGCGUUGUCCGGAAUUACUGGGCGUAAAGGGCUCGUAGGUGGCCAACUAAGUCAGACGUGAAAUCCCUCAGCUUAACUGGGGAACUGCGUCUGAUACUGGAUGGCUUGAGAUUGGGAGAGGGAUGCGGAAUUCCAGGUGUAGCGGUGAAAUGCGUAGAUAUCUGGAGGAACACCGGUGGCGAAGGCGGCGACCUGGGUCGAUACUGACGCUGAGGCGCGAAAGCGUGGGGAGCAAACAGG
rnacentral:rRNA from 1 species